GACGAACGCUGGCGGCGUGCCUAAUACAUGCAAGUCGAGCGGACCGAAGGGAGCUUGCUCCUUUAGGUUAGCGGCGGACGGGUGAGUAACACGUGGGCAACCUGCCCUGCAGACUGGGAUAACUUCGGGAAACCGGAGCUAAUACCGGAUAACACCGAAAACCGCAUGGUUUUCGGUUGAAAGGCGACUUUUAGCUGUCACUGCAGGAUGGGCCCGCGGCGCAUUAGCUAGUUGGUGAGGUAACGGCCCACCAAGGCGAUGAUGCGUAGCCGGCCUGAGAGGGUGAACGGCCACAUUGGGACUGAGACACGGCCCAG
rnacentral:rRNA from 1 species